rnacentral:rRNA from 1 species
UACGUAGGGGGCAAGCGUUGUCCGGAUUUAUUGGGCGUAAAGAGCGUGUAGGCGGCCAGGUAGGUCCGCUGUGAAAACUCGAGGCUCAACCUCGAGAGGUCGGUGGAAACCGUCUGGCUAGAGUCCGGAAGAGGAGAGUGGAAUUCCCGGUGUAGCGGUGAAAUGCGCAGAUAUCGGGAAGAACACCCGUGGCGAAGGCGGCUCUCUGGGACGGUACUGACGCUGAGACGCGAAAGCGUGGGGAGCGAACAGG